CCUAACACAUGCAAGUCGAGCGGAUGAAGGGAGCUUGCUCCCUGAUUUAGCGGCGGACGGGUGAGUAAUGCCUAGGAAUCUGCCUGGUAGUGGGGGAUAACGUUCCGAAAGGAACGCUAAUACCGCAUACGUCCUACGGGAGAAAGCAGGGGACCUUCGGGCCUUGCGCUAUCAGAUGAGCCUAGGUCGGAUUAGCUAGUUGGUGAGGUAAUGGCUCACCAAGGCGACGAUCCGUAACUGGUCUGAGAGGAUGAUCAGUCACACUGGAACUGAGACACGGUCCAGACUCCUACGGGAGGCAGCAGUGGGGAAUAUUGGACAAUGGGCGAAAGCCUGAUCCAGCCAUGCCGCGUGUGUGAAGAAGGUCUUCGGAUUGUAAAGCACUUUAAGUUGGGAGGAAGGGCAGUAAGCUAAUACCUUGCUGUUUUGACGUUACCAACAGAAUAAGCACCGGCUAACUUCGUGCCAGCAGCCGCGGUAAUACGAAGGGUGCAAGCGUUAAUCGGAAUUACUGGGCGUAAAGCGCGCGUAGGUGGUUCGUUAAGUUGGAUGUGAAAGCCCCGGGCUCAACCUGGGAACUGCAUCCAAAACUGGCGAGCUAGAGUACGGUAGAGGGUGGUGGAGUUUCCUGUGUAGCGGUGAAAUGCGUAGAUAUAGGAAGGAACACCAGUGGCGAAGGCGACCACCUGGACUGAUACUG
rnacentral:rRNA from 1 species